UCGGUUUCUAUCUAUGAUAAACUUAUACCCAGUACGAAAGGACCGGUAUAAGAAAGCCAAUGCUAAAAGCACGCCUUUACAUAAUCAUCAACCAAAUUAACCCCCCCCUUUUUUAAAACCAAGACAAGGUUAAUUAAGGACACAGCCCUUA
rnacentral:rRNA from 1 species